AUGCUUCUACAAGGGUCAAGAACCCAUCAGCCAGUAACAGUUGUGUAAGACGUGGCCUGUGAUGCUAACCACACAUUGAUUCUGGACUCCAAGAAAUGAGUCUUCUCCUGGGGCUUUGGUGGCUAUAGUUGGCUGGGCCACUCGGAGCAGAACGAUGAGAUGGUCCCCACUUGGUGAAGUUGGAGUCUGACUUCCUUGGGUGUGGGGCAUCCCAGCUCCAUGUUGGUUACACCUGUUCCUUUGCUGUCUGUGAAGUUGGUAGUCUCUUUUUCUGGGGAUCCCAAUAUCUCCCGUGAAUCUUCCAUGUACCUGAAAGCCGUGCAGGACCUCUGCAGCUUUAGAAUCCGGAGCCUGGCUUGUGGGAAGAGCAGCAUCAUUGUGGCCGCCAAUGAGAGCACCAUCAGCUGGGGGCCAUAACCAACCUUUAGGUAAUUGGGAUACAGGGACCAUGAGCCCAAGUCUUCUACUGCAGCCCAAGAGGUGAAGACUCUGGAUGGCAUCUUUUCAAAGCAGGUCUCCAUAAGCUACUCACACUCCUUGGUGAUAGCGCAAGAUGAAAGUGAGACCAGGAAAGAGAAGAUCAAGAAACUGCUAGAGCCGGUUGCGGUGGCUCACCUGUAA